rnacentral:rRNA from 1 species
UACGUAGGUGGCAAGCGUUAUCCGGAAUUAUUGGGCGUAAAGAGCGCGCAGGUGGUUAAUUAAGUCUGAUGUGAAAGCCCACGGCUUAACCGUGGAGGGUCAUUGGAAACUGGUUGACUUGAGUGCAGAAGAGGGAAGUGGAAUUCCAUGUGUAGCGGUGAAAUGCGUAGAGAUGUGGAGGAACACCAGUGGCGAAGGCGGCUUCCUGGUCUGCAACUGACACUGAGGCGCGAAAGCGUGGGGAGCAAACAGG